GAUGAAGAACGUAGCGAAAUGCGAUAAGUAAUGUGAAUUGCAGAAUUCAGUGAAUCAUCGAAUCUUUGAACGCAUCUUGCGCUCCUUGGAAUUCUGAGGAGCAUGCCUGUUUGUGUGUCAUUAAAUUCUCAACCGCACUGACUUUGAAUUGGUGUGGCUUGGAUUUGGGGGGAAAAUUGUUGUGGGCUUUUUUGUAUAGUCUGCUCCCCUGAAAUUGAUUAGCGGUACCUUUGUGGAACUGUCUACAGGUGUGAUAAUUAUCUACAUCCUAGACAUCUGCUGGAAUGCUGCUUUCUAAACCUUACUUGUAUUGACAAUCUUGACCUCAAAUCAGGUAGGACUACCCGCUGAACUUAAGCAUAUCAAUAAGCGGAGGA
rnacentral:misc_RNA from 1 species